CGUUUCUUACUUUGGCACUGUUUCUCCCCAUCAAUGACAAACCCUAGCUGGCAAUCACGUGUUUCCUCUGCCAUUCUACCCACUCCACCGUACCAUUCAUCUUCUUCUCUUUUCUUGAUUUCUCUUCCACAGCUCAUAGUUUCCCAUCUACUGUCGUCAUCUCGCGUCUCUACUUCCUUCGAUUGCAUCAUCGCUGACGCUUGCCGUUCCGUGCUCAAGGAGAUUUCGCUCGCCGGAAAUGGAGGAACCAGCCAUAUUUCGACAGCUCCCUUCAUCUACUGUUGUUUGCUCAUCCUUCUCUCUUUUUCUAGAUCUGAAAGCAUUUCCAAGGAGCAAAUCGCGGGUGAGCAAUCCUUGGUGGCUAUGUUUUGCUGUAUAAAUAGGGGAUGCUUGUGUGUGUGUGUUGCAAUAAGUAAUGUUUCUAGGAAGAUUUUUAAUGAACGCAACAACUUCUUUGAUUCUACAGGGCCAGAGAUGGACUUUCAAGGAGAAACCAACCCUCAAUCCUUCAUAUACAGUUGCUAUGCACAAGGUUGGUGUUUGUUUCGUUCAAAAAUUGAUGGAAGAUAUGGACUUUUAUGCCAUGAGGAGGAAGAGACUACAAGCUCUAUGCAAGAAACAUGACAUCUCUGCUAAUUUGAAGAGCAAAUAAAUGGCAGACAAGCUUUCCUUGAUUUUUAAGCACCUUAUUAGUAUACCCUUUUCUUCAAGUCAAGUUUUUCCCCCUUUUCUUUUGUCUGUUUUUAUAGUUUAUGAUGAUCUAUGUUAUGAUGCUUUGAUAGUUUAUUGAUUUGGUUGUUGAGUUUUUUUUGUGGCCCAUUUGUUUUCUUUAUAGAUUUCCUUCUUCCUUGCUUUUUCUAAUUAUGUUUUUAUUGGAUUGGAUUCGAAGAUAUUAGCUUGAAAUUUACCCCAAACUUAAUAGCCUAUAACCAUUAUUCAAUUAUUUCACAGCAUGAGUGUGUGCUAUAAUUUAAAUAUUAAAUUAAUUAACUUAGCUAAGAACCAAAGCCCUGUGAUGGUGUGUGGGGUACUAUACUUGAAGCCUAUAGUUGGAGCGGAACACUAAAAUCUUCAAGGACAGAUCCUUGUGAUGGUAUCUUUCAUGGUGUGAUGGUUUUCUUAUAUUUGUAAGUGAAUAAUUUGGUGUGUUUGUACCCAACUAUGUUAGGGUCAAAGGAGGAAAAAUCAUAAGCUUGAAAGUGUAUUGGAUAACAAAAUGUUAUGAAGGUUAAAUCUUUAAGAGACAUUGCCACGAAGAAAUAGAGUAGGAGUUGAAUCUUUGUGCAAUAUGUAUAUAAGGUUGAAACCCUUUUGAAUGAUAUAAGUAUGAUAAUUUUCAAUUUCAUGAUGUGUCUUAUAAACUAAAUUGAGAAAUUAGCUAAAGGAGACUUAGGAGGUUUAGACAUGUUCAUGUGAGAGCACGCUGUCAUGCUUACAUAUUUAUCUCAAUUUUUUUCAUUCAAGCUGGUAAACCCAUUGAUCCUCAUUUUUGCCAUCCAUUCGAGUGACUGGAUCACAUGUGUCUCAUAAACUUUUGCCUAAUCACAAUUCUCACCCUCGAUGUUCAGUGGAUUACCUUUAGUCUUUUCUUUGCCUUUGUGACAUGAUAUGAAUUAUGUGAUUAAGAUCACCAAAAAUUUAAGAGACACUGGCAUGUUAGAUUUUUGUGUGUCAAACUUCACUUUGUCUAUAUGGUUCAGAAGGAUGAAGUCACUAUAGAUUAUUUGCAAUGAGUGAAGAUAAAUGAAUAAGUAGGAGCCCCUUAAAAACCAGUUAAAAGUGAUGGUAUAUAUAUAGAAGGGAGUCAUUUAUAAAAGCUCUUCCCUGUACAUAAAACACUAGGUGUAUAAAUUUGGUUCAAGCAAAAAAAUUACAUAUGUUUUAGGCAAGUUUAAUGUUGAUGGCAGUAAUUCUCUAGCUACAUGAUGAUUAAUGAAAGAAUGUUAUUAUCUUGAUGUGCUUAUGUAUUUAAUUUAGACGUUCAUGUUACUGCUAGCUGUAUAUUUCAUGAUUUUGAGGAUUUUCUUCUUCUUUGUUUUAUUAAUUUUUAUGUCCUAUGCUUUGACCUACUGAUUUUUUUCCUCUCUAUGUUGCUACAAUAUCUCUCUUUCUUUGUCAAUAGGGUGUUGGAAUUGAGACUAAGAUGAAAACUUACUUGGUAGCAGUCAUGGAUUGAACUCUUUCAAGGAGGGGCAGAGUUUGUCUUGAUGCCAUAGGUGGCCUAUCCUUAACAGAUAAUAGAACUGAUGCAAGUGGAAGGCCUGACCAAUGUUGAAGGCAAAAACCAUUUGCAAGAGAUGGUUAAAGGAAGCUGACAUGUCUCUUAAUUGUAUUGAUAAUUCAAUGGUGUGAGCCUCUGAAGAAUAUCAUUCUGUUGUUGGGGAGUGAAGGAUGGUGUUGUAAUUCAAUUCUAUGUUUGAAGGCGAGGUAGCAGAGUUGAUGUGGGGAAUAUGAUCUCUUAAUUUUGAUUUAUGGGUUGAAGAAUUGAUGUUUUAUGUUGCCGGUUGAGAUUGAAUGUUGCGGAUUGAGCAUGAAUUUCUCCUGCUAUUGGCCUAUUGCAAUGAAUGAUGAAAACUGUGGAGUUUACUGUAAAAACUUUCUAUACUUGUAUGAGUGAGAGACCGUUAGAGGAACAUUAACAAAAGAAACAGAUGGAGUCUAUUGUAUAUGUCAUUCUAAUAUCUCACAUGUUAAUGUGUCAUGUGAGAUGUUUUGAGUUUACAUGACAUUUGCUUGAAGUGAGUAUGCUAUUGUUGUCACUUUUUGUAAUGUUGUAGAUUUUGUGUUCCCCCUGAAAAGUUCCUAUAUAUAAUCUGCUAUUUGAUUUAAUAUAAGGCAGCUUGAUAUUUCUUCAAAA